rnacentral:rRNA from 1 species
UACAGAGGCCUCGAGCGUUAGGCGGAAUCACUGGGCUUAAAGCGUGUGUAGGCGGACCCCUAAGUACCUUGUGAAAUCCCACGGCUUAACCGUGGAACUGCUCGGUAUACUGGGUGUCUUGAGCCACUUAGGGGCUACCGGAACAAAUGGUGGAGCGGUGAAAUGCGUAGAUAUCAUUUGGAACGCCAAUGGUGAAAACAGGUAGCUGGGAGUGUGCUGACGCUGAGACACGAAAGCCAGGGGAGCGAACGGG